rnacentral:rRNA from 1 species
CCUUCGACGUUAGCGGCGGACGGGUGAGUAACACGUGGGUAACCUACCUAUAAGACUGGGAUAACUUCGGGAAACCGGAGCUAAUACCGGAUAAUAUUUCGAACCGCAUGGUUCGAUAGUGAAAGGUGGUUUUGCUAUCACUUAUAGAUGGACCCGCGCCGUAUUAGCUAGUUGGUAAGGUAACGGCUUACCAAGGCGACGAUACGUAGCCGACCUGAGAGGGUGAUCGGCCACACUGGAACUGAGACACGGUCCAGACUCCUACGGGAGGCAGCAGAA